rnacentral:rRNA from 1 species
GACGAACGCUGGCGGCGUGCUUAACACAUGCAAGUCGAACGGAAAGGCCCUGCUUUUGUGGGGUGCUCGAGUGGCGAACGGGUGAGUAACACGUGAGUAACCUGUCCUUGACUUUGGGAUAACUUCAGGAAACUGGGGCUAAUACCGGAUAGGAUCUCUUGCUGCACGGUGGGGGUUGGAAAGUUUCGGCGGUUGGGGAUGUAAUCGCGGCUUAUCAGCUUGUUGGUGGGGUAGUGGCUUACCAAGGCUUUGACGGGUAGCCGGCCUGAGAGGGUGACCGGCCACAUUGGGACUGAGAUACGGCCCAGACUCCUACGGGAGGCAGCAGUGGGGAAUAUUGCACAAUGGGCGGAAGCCUGAUGCAGCAACGCCGCGUGCGGGAUGACGGCCUUCGGGUUGUAAACCGCUUUCGCCUGUGACGAAGCGUGAGUGACGGUAAUGGGUAAAGAAGCACCGGCUAACUACGUG